rnacentral:rRNA from 1 species
UACGUAGGGAGCGAGCGUUGUCCGGAUUUACUGGGCGUAAAGGGCGCGUAGGCGGUCUGUUAAGUAUGAAGUGAAAUCUCCAGGGCUCAACCCGGAAACCGCUUUGUAAACUGGCAGACUGGAGGAAGGCAGAGGUGAGUGGAAUUCCCGGUGUAGCGGUGACAUGCAUUGAUAUCGGGAGGAACACCCAUGGCGAAGGCAGCUCACUGGGCCUUUCCUGACGCUGAGGCGCGAAAGCGUGGGUAGCAAACAGAAUUAGAUACUCUGGUAGUCCACGCCCUAAACGAUGGAUGCUAGGCGUGAGGGGUAUCGACCCCCCUUGUGCCGCAGCUAACGCAUUAAGCAUCCCGCCUGGGGAGUACGGCCGCAAGGUUGAA